AUAGUGAAAUUGAAGCAUGAGCACGAUGCACCAGCAAUAUUCUGGCCUGUGUAAAAAGACUGGGAAAGACAGUGAUGUUCAUUUAAUUGGUCAGAUGCCUAUCUCCUCAACGGCUGAAAUUAUGGGAUUUCUAUUCAAAUGCAUUGUGUUUUCAUUUUGCCAGUCCACCAGUAUUGUUCUUGUGGAAGAAAGCACCUAUCUUGGGUUAGUUAGCAAAUGGCUAAACAAUCCUGCAUAAUCAGUAGCAGUGACCAUCACCAAGAGCUGGCUUGCUCAUCUGCUCACCUGUAUAAUUGAUGCUGGAAACAUUCAGUCUUUUAAAAGCUUGGAAAAACAAAUGUAACUUGUCAAGAUGCCAUUACAACAAUGAGGCUCUACAGAUCUAUCAUUUUUUUUAGUCCUGCACAUUGUCGUUUAUUCAAGACUUUUCACUGUCAAAACACGGGGCCAUACAACUGAUUUAAUGGAAUUUAGUUAUUGAUAGGAUACGUAAUUUCUAUGUAAAUAAUGAUGUAACCCUCUAGAGGGUGGGCUACAUAUACUGUUUCCAGCCACAGUUUUUACACAAUCUUUGGAUACUGCCUUUGUAGCUGGCGUAGCUUGCAGAAAAAAAUGUGUGUCUCCAAUUCCAGCAUUAGCUAGAGUGAGGCCUAAAUUAUGGCUCUGUUUUCCUGUUUGGGCCCUGCCACACACCAGGGAGGAAUAAAAUCUUGCUAACAAGGUGGAGAUUUGGGCUGAAAGAGACAGCACACAUAUGCUAUCUUGUGCUACAAUGUUGCUAGAAAUAGUUCACAGUUCUGAUUAAAUAGCUUUGAGGUACAGAGUUCUAAAAACAUCCGGAUUUUUCCUGUUUUUAUUUUUUAUUUUUGCUAAGGGAGCCAUGCUCAUAGUGAAGAGAUUCUUUGCAUAUGCUGGGUGUUGCAAAGCAGGGAACUGGGCUGCCUUAAAUUUACGUAGAUGCUUAUAUCCUUUGGUCAAACCUCAUCUGGAAUACUGUGUCCAGUUUUGGGAAUCAUGAUUCAAGAAAGAUAUUGAGAAGCUGGAACGUGUCCAGAGGAGGGCACCCAAAAUUACCAAUGGUUUGGAAGCCACACCAUGGGAUUAGCUUCUUAAGGACUGGGCAUAUUUAGUUUUGAGAAAAUAAGGCUGGAGGAGACAUGAUACUUUGGUUAAAUAUGUGAAAGGAUGACAUAUUGAAGAUGGAGCAAUUGUGGUUUUUGCUGUUCCAGAAACUAGGACAUGGAGCAAUGGAUUCAAACUUCAGGUAAAGAGAUUCCUCCAGACUAUUGGGAAGGAAAAGUAUCCUUACUCUGAUAGUAGAGACUGUGUCUUUUUAUGUCUAGAGGCAGUAAAUGCCACAAGAAAUAAAAUAUAGUAAGGAAAACAGUUUUCUGUGCACCAUUCAAGGAAGUCUGAUGAAGAUGAGCAGAGGCAUAAAAGCAAUGUCACAAACAUUCCCAAAUUCACCACAAGAAGCUACCUGUCAAAUAAUGCAAGUUAAAAAAUAGAAAUGUAAAAUUAUGCAAGUCUAGAUUCCUAAACAUUGUUAGACCUGAAAUAUGCUGCCUUGGAGUAUGGUGGAGUCUUAAACAGAGUCUGGAUGACCAUCUGUUCAGAGUGCUUAGAUUAUGUAGUCCUGCAUGGCAGAGGUUGGACUGGAUGGCUCUUAUGGUCCUUCCCAACUUUAUGAUUCUAUGUGAUGGGGAAACAUGUUCAUUCAUCUUUGCAUUCAUGAUUACAGAUAUUGUUCAAUUGAAACCAACAGUUAAUUAAAUGUAAAAAUUAUUAAGCAAAAAAGCUGAUGAUUGUGAUUUGGCACCAUAAACAUGGUUGAUUGAAUGACAGAAUUAUAAGAGUGAAUCAUUCAAAACUCCUUUCUUCCUGAAGUUACAAGCAGAUUCGUUUUGCUUUGCUCUGCAUUUGUUUUUAAAACAUGCUAAUGUGGAAGCAAUGAUUUCAAAAGUUGCAGUCAAUGGACAGGUAGAUGUGAUGGGAUGGAGACUAUAACCCGUAGACAUUUCUUCCAUGUUAGGAAAACUCCAUCCGCCAAUAGGAACUAAGAAGAAUUAUUGGCUAUCAAGUUGAUGAUGAACAGAAAAGAGCAAAUGAUGAACAAGAAUGGAACAGAACUGAGUUUGAUCCAUUGUCUGUAUGAAACAUGAAGAAACCAGGGAAUUAAAAAAGGGGGUUUGCAUUGAAUAUGGAAGUACUUUGGGGUUUGAUAUGACUUUAAUUUACAGCAGCCAUAUGGUGAAGAACAAAAUAUAGGAAAAGUCUGUUAUAAAAGAAGGAGAUAUUUUGCCUAUCUAAGAACAGCCUCAAGGGAGAUUAUACUAAGAAGUCUAUAAAGAUGACACUAGUCAAAUUUUCCUCCCAGACGAGCAGAAAACAAGUACAUUCAGAUUUUUCUUUCCUUCUUUCCCACCCCACCCUGCCUUUAGGGAAAACUAGGUGUGUGUUUUUAUAUUAUCCUGAAGGCUUAGGUUGCCUUUUCAUUAAGUAGUAUGAUUGGCAUAAGUUUGGGGAAACCUUCUUGCAAGGCUUAAUUCUAUACUCUCAGGACAAUACUAAUAUUUUCCAAAUGCUACAGCUGGCAUCAUCUUUCUCAGUUAGCUAAGAGUUGUCCAUUGUAUUGGCUAGUCACCAGAUUUAUGGUCCUUCCCAAGCAGACGGAAAUGCUCAUUUUUUCCAGUUUUCCAAGUGGUAAUAAAAUAUUUGUCAUUGAUCUUAGUUCCAACAUCCCUUGUAUGUCUGACACAAGCCAAACCUCCUCACAGUUAUCGAAAUUGUGAUGUAUUUUGAAAGUCUAAAUCUUCUUUCAGACAAAUACAAAGUGCUGUUGUAUUGGAUCCAAGAAUCCAACACAUAAUAGAGAUAUUUCAAAACAUCUCAAAGGGGUAAAAUUGUAUGAGGUGUUACAGUAAAGACGGGCAAAGUGUGACUCUAUUCAUCUCUCCCACUCACUGUUUCGACCCAUCCAGAUCCCAGAAACGAACCCUUUUCUGGCCAAAAAAUAAAUAAAAGAUCAUCUCAAAGAGCAUCUUUUCCCUUUCAAAUAGAUGGCAGUCCUGCCACUCAAAAUUGAAAAAUUGAAAAUUGCUUUAAACUUCUGGUCAUUUCCAGAGUUUGGGGGGGGGGAGAAUGUCUUUUGAAGGGGGCCAAUUUUGACAAUCUUCUUAACUUACCCAGAAAUCUUGGGGACGAAUAUUGUUCCCUGAAGCUGCUGCUUUUGCCCAUUCCUAUUUUACAGGGACAUCUGGUCUGGAAGUGAUGCAACCACUGUUUUUGUAUUUCCAUCCACCCAUCCAUCCAUCCAUCAAUCUCUUUUUUAUAACACUGAGCAGCCACAGUAAAGGACCCCUAACCCGUUCCCACCAGGAAUACUUGUAAAGAUGUAGGCAUGGGUAAGAGCAAUGGUAAUCUUUCUUUGCACACUGGGACCCAAGCUGCUUUACAAAAUAGAAUUACAAUGAAAAUGAAAGGUAAAGGUAAAGGUUUUCCCCUGACAUUAAAUCCAUUAACUACUGGGGUUGGUGCUCAUUCCAUUUCUAAGCCAAAGAGUCAGCGUUGUCUGUAGGUGCCUUCAAGGUCAUGUGGCUGGCAUGACUGCAUGGAGUGCUGUUACCUUCCUGCCAAAAUGGUACCUAUUGAUCUACUCACAUUUGCAUGUUUUCGAACUGCUAGGUUGGCAGAAGCUGGGACUAAUAGCAGGAACUCACCCUGCUCCCCAGAUUAGAACCAGCAACCUUUCAGUCAGCAAGUUCAGCAGCUCAGUGGUUUAAUCCUCUGUGCCACCAGGGGCUCCUUGAAAUGAAAAUACAAUGAAAAUGCAUGUGAUUUUAAAAAAAAACCAGAAUUUUGAGAUUAAAAAAGUAUUUAAUUAACAACAAAAUCAGUUUAUUGGCAGAAGUCGUCAACAAAAUUCCAGCAGUUAACAGUGACUGGAGACAGAAAUGCAGUCUAGUAUCUCUACAAAGUGUCUGAUCAGAUAUUGACACUAGGCAAGGAUACUAGUGCUGUUAAGCACAACAACAGAAAAGUCGAAAGGUGAAUGUAGAUCCAGCAGAAUGACUUCAGACUGUUGAACAGUAAUACCGGAAUGUUUUAAACGGUGCACUCUUCUUGCAGGUGGAGUGUGGAGUCCAGUCCCAGAACCCUAACAAGUGAGAAUGUGAAAAGGCUCACCAUUCUAGUAGAGUCUAGUGAUUAGCCUUUACAUAAAAACAUAUUUUAAAAUAAAUUGAACAUUGCAAUUCUGCAAAAAGCUGGGGGUGACCCCCGUUGGCAAAUGAAUUGUGAUACCAAUGUUCAGCUGCCACAGUCAUUGCUGAUUAGGGUUCCUAAAGCCUCAAGUCUUUUCUAUAGUCUUCAAGGUAAGAAACUUCAGCGUGAGAGGAUGAUCUUGAAAAGAGUUUUCUGCAUCUAUUCAAAUGUGGGCAAUGCCAUUUGAUGACACAUGAUGAGGCGAGAGCCAGCAUGAUGCAGUGGUUUGAAUGUUGGACUCAAACCCCAUGAUUUAAAUUCUUACUCAUGCAUGGAAACUGCUUGUGUGACCUCAGAUAAGUCAUAUUCUCUUAGUCUCAAGGAAGGCUAUGGCAAAACCUUGUCUGAAAAAAUCUUGCCAUGGGUUUGCCUUAAGUUCAAAACAACUUGAAGGCAUACAAUAAGAACAAUUCCACCUAAUGACAUCAGCAGGGGCUGUCCGUUCUAAUGUCUCUCUUGCAAAAUCCUCCUAGCAUCAUAAGGAUUUGUCAUUAGGCCACUGUUUUUAGCCACAAAAUUUUAGGGAUAGUCCUGAUCUAGCAACCCUAUUGCUGAUCAGCCUGCAAGAAAGUCAGCCCACCUUCCAAUCUUUGUGGCCCAGUUAUUUCUUGAAUUUCCCACACCAGAAAACAAAGUUCCUUCUGCCAGAAUAGGGAAGAUCAAUGUAGUCACAUCACUUCCUGAGUAGAUAGUUCUAAUUUGGUAUAUGUAAGGCAAGAGUGCAAAACCUUUAUCUAUAAAAAUAAACCAGGUCACAUCCAAAUAAGAAUAUUUUUUUCCAACAGGUUAUCAAAUGGUGAAGCUUUUCCAUAACAGAAUGUUCAUGCUCUAAAGCAAUGAUUCCUAAACUACAGUCUUCGAAGUGUUUUGGACAUCCAAUGACAGGGAUUUGAGGAGCUGAAGUCCAAGGCCCCUUCUACACUGCUAUAUAAUCCAAAUUAUCAAAGCAGACAAUUCACAGUAUAGAUGGGGCCCAAAUCACGUUGAAAACUAGAGUUUGUGAAACACUAAUCCAAAGGGCUUUCCUUGUGUAGAACUUCUAUGGCUACAAAGUUUUUAAGGGUACAAGUCCAUUGUUGUCCCAACACUGUCAUGAAAAAAACUCAAUUUUCCAUGAGUUUUAAACUAAUUAUGUUUCAGAAUUUCUUGUAUAUAUUGUUCUUACACUGGGAAUACUAUGUUUAGUAGAAGAACAGACAUGGUAUAUUAGAUGGGUGUAUGAAAACAGAUUUAAGAUUUACCACAACCAUGAUUCAAAUGCCAUUAAAAAUCAGAUUAAAAUGUUAAAAUAAUAUUUUCCUAGAGCACUUGUUCGGGUUAAGAAACAGUAGCAGCAGAAUAAGUAUAGCAAUGGUAUCAAUGCACACCAGUCACUCUCCUCUUGAUUUUUAGCAAAAGGGAUAUUAGCCUUUGACAUAAAAUAUAUCCAUUUAAAUACUUGCAACAGGAACAGGUCCCACAUGGUAGCCCCCACAAUUGGUGUUUAGGCAGCCAGUGAUAACAUUCUAAUUCUGCUUGGCUUUUAACAGUUUUCAGAUCCAAAGGUUUGGCUGAGCUCCUUUUCACUUUAGCUUUCCUUUUUAUUAUUUGACACUGUUUUAUUCUUUCAUGUAAACUACUCUUGAGAGCCCUCAUUUCAGCUGAAAAAGCAGUAUCAAAUGCUGAAAAUAAAUCAAUACACAUUUAAUGCAAUCUCCCCCUUUCAACGCUAGCGUGAGUGAAUGAACUUACACUAAAAAAAACUACAGAGGAAUUGCAGGGGCUGACCCUGAAGGAAUGCUGUUGUCAUUUCCAAAGUGUGCCUAAUCUCACAUUUUAGUAGAUGAGGACACCAGGAUACAUGAAUCAGGAUACAGCCUACACAGCAAGCAAGCUGCCAGGAUAGAGGAGGACAAAUAUGCAUAUAUAUAUCUCUCUCUAACACUUGGACUGCCUCUGGUGUCGCUAUAAGCAGGUCCUCGAUUGUGCAUGUGGCAGGGCUCAGACUGCAUUGUAGUAAGUGAUCUGUGGUUUGCUCUUCUCCACCCUCGCAUGUCAUGGGCUCCACUUUGUAGCCGCAUUUCUUAAGGUUAGCUCUGCAUCUCAUGGUGCCAGAGCAUAGUUUGUUCAGCACCUUCCAAGGUCAGUUGGGGAGGACCAGUCCCCUCUAUUCUCCCUGUGGCAGUGCUGCUUCUUACCUAGACAGGGAAGUGGUAGCAGCUCUUUGGCAAGGAGAGUGGAGGGACCUGGUUGAUGCAUUUUGGGGGAUCUCCUGGGACAAUGUUAGUUUUUGCCAUAGUCAGUCCUUGGAGAAACUGAAAAAGGCCGAAUCUCCUCCACCCUCCCCUUUGUGCUGGAGGUUUUUAGGUGCUUUGCUGCUGCAGUAGGGAGAAAAGGGGAAAGAAGAAACUGAAAAAAACAAUUCCAUCCUACUCCACUCUUCCCUUCAUGCUGGUGGCUCUUUGGCACUUCGCUGCCAGGAUGGGGACACUAGAAGUGGUCAAGAUAAUCUGAAAAAAAUCUGAAGCCUCUCAGGUCUCACCUUAUUUGGGGAGUUAAAGCAGGGUGGGAGAACUUGGAAAAAGUUCAUUUUGUCUGCAUGUGUUACAUUUCUUUAUCUCUGUAAAAUGAGUUCUAAAAUUUUUACCCUUGACUGAUCCAUGGGUCAUAUCAAAAUCCAUAAUUUUGACUCCCAAACCUGCUAUCGACUUAGUUGUAAGGUUAAACAUAUACACAAGUAUAUGCAGGCUACAGCUUCCACAACCUUUUAGCCGGCAUAGUCAUACUGGCAGAUGGAUUCUCAAAGAUAUAGCCCAUCCAGCCUGUCACUUAUGAGACAUUAUCUGAAUGAAUACAAUCAUCUUGUUUUCUAAAUGCCAUAUGAAACUAUAUGAAACUGAUGUUUUUGUAUUUAUAGCAGUUGCUUUCAAAUUUCAAUUCCGCCAUAGCACCUUAGUAACAAAUGGCAACUAUUCUUGCAUAUUCAGGAAAACCCAUUUUGGAAAUACAAAGGUCUGAAUCCAAUUGCUAGUGACAGUAUAGCAUAGCUCCAAUGUAAUGGGAAUGUGGGGAAAACUGUCAUAUAACAUAGAUAUGUGACACUUUGAUUAUUCCACUGUUGUCCAAGAAGCUGCAUAUUGGGCACCAAGGCCUUGAGCACUAUGCAAUGAUAGAUUACUUUCCCACCUAAGUCAAUUGUGUGUGUAUGUGUGUGUGUGUCCUUACAAAAGGUUGCAUUAGGGGCAAAAUGUACAAAACCCCUGAUAAUACAACUAUUUGCAUAAUCUAUUUUCACUCUAGCCUAGUCCUCCACCAGGAGUCCCAUCUUGGUAACCCACACUUAUAUAAAUUACAUUAAUUCAAGAGAGUUAUUUUAGUUGAGUGUAUUAAAUAGGGAUCUAAUGACCUCAUCAGAUGCAAAUCCUCCCAUUUCCAUACAAUUAUAAGACAUUUCAGGGACCAAGUGCCAUAGAGCCCUUCACACAAUAUAAAACUACUUCUGGUUGACAUCUGUUGUACUUCGUCCCUGAAAUGUAGUAGAAUUGUAGAGAAAGGGAAGGGGGGGGGACAGGAGAUGGGGAGAAACCGUCUUCUGAGUUCCCUAUGCACGGGAGAAAAGGAUCAUGGCAAAGUGGUUUAUAAGAACACUUGUCUAAUGCAAGGCAGGAAGCUAUGGGAAAGACAGAUCAUGGCAAAGGGGUUUACAGUUCUGCCACUUUCCUCCUCAAAUGGAAUAAGGUCCAUAGUAAUCUUGGCUUUUGAUAUUGAAGUUUUCCCUGAUUAAAAAAAAGAAUGCAGAGUGGGUGGGGACUGUACUUACUCAUGUGAUGGCUCAGAAUGUGGGACAGAAUGGGAGAAGGCCAGAGAACAUAAAGCGGGAUGGGAUUUGUAAAACAAAAUGAUGUCUUUUUAAAGGGAAGGAGGUGAUAAGCUUUGCUAAGAAGACAACACUUUCUGCAAUACAUCUCAUGACGUCCUAAGAAUCAACAUACAUGCGAUGUUUCACUUUCUGAGCUGAUGAUGGAGCUUAUUCACAAUCUGUAACAGAAGGCAGACAGCUCUAGCUGAAUUGGAUCCUUACCUUUUGGUGUUGUCACAGGAACUGCAUAGUUCCCAUAUGAACAGGAAGUCUAGUGAUGCAAACAAAUCCAUUUUUCCUCUGUACAUUUCAAUGACCAUUUUCUAAACCUGAAAAUAUCCACCCACAUCAAGCCAUCUGCACAUGAGCUUAUUCUGGCUCAAGCCUUUUAAGGCCAAAGCAGAAGCCUCACUAAUUAGUCCUAAACAGUUCAGCUGUGUUCCUGUGGGAACUUGUCCCAUCUAGAAACCAGGCAAAAGCUGCUGCUAGUCAGCUGAUGAGUGGUCAGUGGGAAUAACCCAGAAUGGCUGAGGCUUUGGGGUAUAAAACUCAAGUUGGCCCACUGCCUCUUUUGUCCUGCCUUAUAUGUUGUCUCUAUUUAUCUGUGCCUUAUGGACUACUAUUGGAUUAUGAUGUUUAUUUUCCUGGUCCCUGGAUCCCACUCUAUUGAGGCCCAUGUGCUAAUAUGUUUAGGUUUAAUUAGCUUUAUUGUUUUUGGCCUGUUUGUAGUUUUCCCAAAUGUUCCACUGGUUCUUGUUUCUUUUAUUCCUGUUCCUGGUUGCCUUGUAAGUAAACCUCCUUCCUUAUGCAGCUGUGAAUGUAUUUCCCUCCAAAUAGCCUCAUAUAUACUACAGAAUUGCAGCACUGUUAUUCCUCUUUAACAGCUAUGGUGCCAUCCUACAGGAUCCUUGGAAUGGCACUUAAGAAAAGGCUCUCUAGUGCUUCACCCAACGGCUAACUCCAGGAUUGUAGAGCUAUAAUUGUGCAAUGUGAAAGGACUACUAGGGGGAUGAUGAUGAUGAUAAAUUUAUUACCAGCUUCUACUCGCAGCUCAAGGAGGUUAACAACACUGUCAAAACAAGAGAUAAAGCACUACUAGAACACAUACUACAAGAUAGUAAGGAUUGUCAACCCUAAAUCAUUGUUGAUCCCUGUUCAGAAGAGGAAUGGAGAUAAUGCCCACAAAUGGAAAUGCAGACUGCUUUUGCUUUUUGCUGGUUACAAUUAGACUUGUGCCCAAAGGGGAGAAAAACGAUUUUCCUGAUAACAAGGAAGAGCUCCAUUCUAAAGAUGAUAGAAUACUUCAAAUGUCUGACUUUGGCAGUGAAGCUGAAAACAUAGGGAAAUUACUAUUGGUAAUUAUGACACUUUUGUAAAAAAAAUGUACUAGACUUUAUGUCUAUUGCUAAUUUAAUGCUGUUGUGGUUGAAUCAAGUAGCAUGUUUUAUUGAACUGAACAUGUUCCAUUGCCUUUGUGUUUGGCUUCAAAAGGUGCAGCGGAGGUGCCAUAUGCCAAGAAAAUUUUCAUUUUAUAAACAUGGUGCAAAGAUGACGCUUGAGAUAAUAUGGGGAGACAAUAUUCAGGUAUUGUGUGGACAGUGUAGAGAGAUUUUUAUUCUACUUGUCUGGAGAUAAAAUAGGAGAGUCCUGUCAAUUCGAUGAAUAGCAGUGCGGGAAAAAGAAUUACUCAGAAAUAAAGAAGACAAAGAGUUGUCACUGAAUUUUGGAUAUAAAGAUGUUGAAAAUAAUAAACAGCUUCCUAGCAUAAAUUGUAACAAACCAGUUCAUUUAUCUCAACUGCUAUUAUGCUGCUAUGAAUACAGUGCUCGACAGCUUUUAGAAAAAACAACAACAGUGUUUUAAAGAAACACUGUUAGAUGAUGAAAACUCCUUAAGCAGCCCAAUUCUCACUUUGAAAUAUGCAUUUGUUUUCUGAGCGUAAACAUUAUUCAGUUUAAAUAGCUAUCAUGGUGCAAUGGAAAGUGACAAAACCCAGCAAAUCAGAUUCAGACUUGAUUUUAGCUCACACUGAGCAUUGAUUCAAUAUAUAGGUUGGCGGUGGAUUUCUCUGAGAGCCAAAACAUGCCUGUGUUGAAAUUUCUAUUUUUCAAAGCAAUGCAAAUACAUGAUUUAGGGAUGAACUACAUCACUCCACAUCUGUGUUCCAAGGUUUCUGCCAAUUUAUAUCACAGCUCUUAUUAAUGGAACUUAAUGACAUUCUGCCACAGUGAAGUCCAAAAGAGGGCUUCUGAUGUGUGUAAAUUGGCCAGAAGAUGUGGUUAUGGAAUAACAUUAAAAUAUGGAAUAGAGGGCACCGGGACCUCAAAGUCUUCUGUGAGGUCAACCUCAUGCUUUCCAAGGGUGCGUUGAGAUGGUAGCUGCUCAUGGAACAAUGUUUAAUGGGGUCGUGUGAUUUGGGUAAACUGCGAUCCGUUUCAGUGACCUGGAUUUUGGAGGGGGCCCCGAUCCAUUUUUCAGGAGCUUUCCAAAUACGGGAGGACAUAAAUCCAUUUUUGAUUGGGGAAGCCAAAAGAUUUGUUUUCAAUCUGGCCCAUGGGAGGACUUCCCAUCAUUUUAGACAUUGUUUGUCCUUAUAUUCUUCAUUAAGAACUGGAUUAAAAGCACCAGAAUUAAGAUACCACUCUUUCUGGGAUUAUUUGUCUUUAUGGCUUUCAUUAAGACCUGGAUUGAAAGCAUCAGAGUAAGGAUACCACUCUUACUGCAAUCCCUUUCCUUCUGUUUUUCAAGGAGUCCUGCAUUCAAAGCAAGGGCUUAAGAGACCCCCUUUCCUGGAAUUCUUUCCCUUCUGUCUUUCAAGGAGACAUGGAUUUAAGGGCAAGAGCUUCUGAAAUCCUUCCCCUUCUAGCUGCUGUCUCCCUCCCUGCACUCCACAUGUUGCUGAAAGAAACCAAAAGCAGCCAUUUUUCCACAACCACUGUUCUGUUGUGGCUAGAAAAAAAUGGCAGUGGAGCCCAUGCAGUUACAGCCAUCCGGAUCCACAAGCCGGAUCCACUGGACCAGCCGAAGACUGCUUUUGAAAAGGAAUCCUUGCACAACCCUAACCUUUAAAUACUUGAUUAAAAAAAAUAAAACCCCACCUAAGACAAAAAAAAAACCUGAGUCAAGGCUAUGCCUAGGAUGCAUCUAAACUGUAGAACUGAUUCAUUAACUGCCAAGGCUCAAUACUGUGGAAUCCUGGGAGCUUUAGUAUGGUGAUGCAUUAGCAUUCUUUUUUACAAAGAAGGCAUCAGCACUGUCUUGCAAACACUGCAAAAUUACAGUUCCCAUGAUUCCGCACUGAACUAUAGCAGUUAAAGUGGUGUCAAACCAUAUUAAACCUCUAUUGUAGAUGAACCACUAGUGCUGUAUGGUAAGUGAAUACAGACAGCUCUCCAUAUCCAAAGAUUCUGCAUCCAUGGGUUCAACCAUCGACAGCUUGAAAUAUUUUGCCAUAAGGGUCAGCAGUUUACUACUCUAUUGUAAAUAAUGGGAUCUGAGAAUCCAAAGAUUUUGAUAUUUAUCGUGUCUGUGUCCUGGAACCUAAUACAGUAGAUACCAAGAAUCUGAUGUAUUUAUAUGAAUCCCAUUGAAUCAAUGUAGUCAACAAAUUGACUUUAGGACUUUGUCUAAAAUGAAACAAGCCCCUCUUCGAUUUUAAAGUUUCUCUUAAAUAUUUUUUUCAAAAUCACACAUUUGGCACAACGCAUAUGACAUGUGUAAGUAAUAAUGCAUUUAGUGGAAAAAUGCACAUACAUUCCCAUUAACACAAAUAAUGUCAAUAGUAAGCUGAGCCCCCAAGGGAUUGUAUUUUAGAAAAAUGCCACCAACUGCUGAUGCACUGAGAACAUGGUUUUCAUUUUCUCUUUUUUAAAAUAAAAACACCUCUUUCUGUUUAAGUUUGGCUAUGGACAGCAAAGAUAUAUAGCCAAAAAUGAGGCUUUUGGUACAAAAUUAAAUUGGGAUGAGGGUUUUACUGCCCCUUUUACAACCACAGCAUAUUGGAAAAUGGGCUCUUACCAAAAUACCAGCAAGAGAAAAUCGGUGAUUUGUUCCAGCUUUCCUUCUGGGAAGACAUUCUUUACAUGUGCUAAUUGCUUUUAAGUUAUAUUAUUUUCCAAUAAGGAACACAAGUGAUUCGAUGUAAGCAACGGCUGUGUAGAGGAUCUUUCAUUAUGUACAGAGGCACAUGAAAAACUGGGUCAACAUUUUCAUUAAGACCCGCCAUUUCCACCAGUUUAUAAGUAUGCCAUAAACACUCUUGCCAAAAUGCAGCUCUACAUCUUAGACAGUAUAUUUUUUCCAGUUAGUAAGAAACUGUGCUAUAGAACUGAGCCGGCAACAGAUAGCAGGGCUGUUCCACCAGAAUAGUUAUUUGCUUAAUCCAUAAUUCACUCAAAGAGGAGAGCAUUUUGUGAUUAUGCAGCAGAAUCCUGGUUCUGCAGAUUUAGAUCCCAGUUAUUGUUCUGCAUCAGGUUUAUGGAUGUCUUUGGGCCAACUCAGUUACCCUUUUCGCAUCUUCUUCGCUUUGUCUUGAAAGUGAUAAUGGCAAUACAACAGCCACAAAACAGAGCCCUAGAGGAUAGGUUAUGAAUAUUUCACAGGGCAAUAUUAGCCCUUCAAAUGCUGUUAGAGUACAGUGUUUCUCACUGAAAUGGCCACAGCAAGGAGUUUUCUUUGACUUCCUCUGAACCUAAUAGAGAAUUGUUUGAUUGAAUAAAACCAAAUUGGUUCCAAAAAUGCUACACACACACACACACACUGCAAUGCCACAUUAAUGACUCUAAAAUCAGAAGUACCUCCCUGGCAACAGCUUAUCAUAUCAUUUGCAAAGAAAAUCAAAUAGUUACAGUAAUUAGGGUGACUAUUUUUCCUUAAAAUGUUAAGUAACAGCAUCCAAUAAACAAAUGUAAUAACAAAUGGACAUUAAUACAUAUAUAUUUUCCAGGUUCUGCUAAAUGUUCCUUGGUUUCAAUUUUCAGAUCUAAAGUAGCACUGUUGGGAUUGCUGAGAUAUUUUUUUUUUAAAAAAAAAACAUUACAUUUGUGUGUAUGUGUACGUGUUUGUAUACACACACACACACACACACACACACAUAUCCCUUAAAGAUCUAUGAUUUCAUUGAUGCAGGUAGUGCCUGCAAAAUAUAGGUGACAACUGAUUUUUCAUCAUGAUUGGGUUUUUAGAAAUGGGAAGCUUAUUCAUUCUUGAAUUAUUCACCAUUUCAGUUUCCAUGCUGAAAAUUGAAUUUUAUAUCCCAAAUCAUGUUGUUGUUUCAAAAGUGUUAUUUGUACAAGAUCUCUUCUGUUCAAAAUUGUUUGUGUGUGUGUGUAUGCAACAUUUCUGUGGGUGAGUGAAUAGUUGCAGAGACAAUAUGCACACGCAACAGUGCUUUUCAUGUAAAAUCUCUCAUAUGAUUUUGAUUGAAAAAACCACAUGCAUUUCUACAUGUGUAAAUACUAGGUGAAAACAGUGUAGAAACAUUCCUUUUUUUCCUCAUGGUGAGAAAAAUAGUGGCAAUUAUUUUGUCUUCCACUUGUGAGAACAAAGCAAUCAAAUAUUUACAUCCCUAUUGCUCAUGACUGUUGGUAGUUCCUUACCUGGUGAUCAGCAUUGAUAAUGUAAGAGUUACUGAUUAAACAGAAAUAUAGGUUGAACAUCCCUUAUCCAGAACUCCAAAAUCACAAAGUGUCCAUAUGAAUGGCUUUUAAAUAAUAAAAUGUACUUUAGAAAUAACAAAUCAUGUAUAAAUACACAUUCACAUGGAACAAUUACAAAAAGAAAUAUCAAUUUAAAAAUGGUAGAAGCAUAAAUAUGUGGCAAGGAAGCACACCUGAGGCAACAAAAUGUGUGUUGGCCAGUUCAACAGCAAGGCAACACCUGCACAUUCACAUGGAACAAUAGAAAAGAAAGAUCAGCUUUAAAAUGACAGAAGCACAAAGUUGUGGCAAGAAAGCACAAAGUGAAGAAGCAGAACUAUCAUUUUCUUCAUACUCUAUUUAUUCCAGUCUCUUUCUCUCUCUCUCUUGCUCUAUCUCCCUUUUUCAUUUCAUGAAGCCAAACAUACCAUCAAUAAAACCCACACAAAAUCAACUAACCCAAAGUCCCUCAAAGCAGACAAGAGCAAAACAGACAGCAAUCUCCCAAAGCGGAUAAGAGCAUGAGGCAUGGAGGCUGCACCCUUGAAGCCCUAAAGCCCUGUAUUCUGACGCUAACGCUCCCUCUGGCACUAGGUCUUAACUCAAAACACUGCUAGUAUGUCAAGUGAAACCUGUGCUGCGUAACAGUUCUUAAAACACUCUCAAAUUGUGAAGCUCUGAUGUUGAGGUUCCACUGUAUAUGCAAAUACAAUUAUUCCAAAAUAAUAAAAAAAACCAAAAUCCUAAACAUAUCUAAUACCAAGCAUUUCAGAUAAGGGAUACUCAACCUGUACUUAAAAAUACUUUAAGAGAUGUUGGAGUCUGCUUUUUACAGCUAAAGUGAUCUGUAUCAAAAAUGGCAUAUACUACCUUAAAAUAUUUUCAUUUGGUUAGUCACCCUAAAAUACAUGUUGCAAGUGGUUAACUUCACCUUCUUGGGAUCUAGAAGAAACUUAUUUGAAGAGUAGCUUAAUUAUUUUAAAAUUAUAUAUGUAUAGAUAAUGUCUCGCUUUGUCAACCUCCGCUUUCUAUGGUCAUAUUGCUGCUGCUUCGGUGCCAACUUUUACUGGUUAGAUCUUAAUUUUCCAUCUUAGAAUGAUCAGACAGAAUGCAGAUGUCACAAUUCUAGGUGGCCAAUCUAUGUGGUACCACAAAGAGCAAAUAAAGCUGCCUUCGAGCAAAGGCAGAACUUUCUGAACAAAGCAAACAUAAAAAUGUACUAGUACGCAGUUUGGCAUUCAUUUUAAGACAACAUGAUGUGGUUUGUGGUGCUCCUAGUUAGGGCAAUAGUCACAUGUUAACUUAAUCACUUAAAGAUGGAUUACAAAGUUUCAGGUUCUUCAGACUGAUGUUGAAGUUAUGCUGUUUUACCAUUUUAAUAAUGUGGUAUAGAACAUAUUCUUUUGAGGAUACAGCAUCAGAAGAUAGAUGGAGAUGAUUCUUCCGGGUAAUGAGCCAAACACUCAAAAAUAGAACAUGAAGAUAGAACAUAACUAGAAAAAAUGUUAGAGGGGAGAAGCUUCUUUAAAAAAGAAAGAAAGAAUUCAUAUCAAACACAUAUCAAAAACUGCAAAGAUUUCCCCUACAGAACUUUUGAGUGCUACCUGAUUUCUCCACUAUGAAAAACAUCAAAAAAUGAAAUUCAGAUAGAGCAUCCCUUAUCAGGAAUUCUGAAAUCCAAAAUACUCUCAAAUCUAUAAUUAUCCACAUAACUGGCUGAAACACUUUCUCAUGGUUCAUUGUACACAAACUUUGUUUCAUGCAAAAGCUUUUACCAAAAAUAUUAGUAAAUUAUUAAAAAUUUCAACCUACUUACCACAUCCUUGACCAUUGCUCCAUCUGCAUAUAUUUCCCACUUUUACUCAUCCCUUGCAGUACGAAAUACAAUGCACCACAUUGCAAGUCUCUAUAUUUCGAGAUCCAGUUUCAUCAUCCUAACUCCAGUACCCUCUUAGUUCCCAUAGCUGGUGACCAUAAUUUCUUUGUCUCCAUUUCCUAAUUUUACCUUGUUGCAAUCACCAUGUCAAUUUUCCAUCAAUGUCUCAUAUUUCAACACCAUAGAGAUACUCAUGCAUAGCUUAGCCUCAUGUAUAAAAUGAGAGCAGGUUUAGAGGCCAAAAUUAUGGAUUAUGAUAUGUUCUGUGAAUAGAUGAAUGGUCAUUCUGCACCAAUGAAUGCAUGGACUGCAAUUGAAUGCACGAUUGUAGCCAGGCUUUUAAAAAGACCAAAGGCAGUGCUACAAUGAGUUUUAAAAGUUCUCCUGGGUUCCCCUUCCUCUUAUAGGUCAAAUGCAUCUUCCCUCUCCUGGGAUGGACUAAGUCAAAGAUGGGAAACCAUUUUUUUUUCUUCCAAGUGCCAUUUGGAUAUUUAUAACAUCAUUUACAGGCCAUAAAAAAUUAGGGUGGGGAGAAGGGCCCCUCAAUCAUUGGGGAAGGUGAGAGGCCCGGUUGAGGGAAGCUGCAUUUGACACAUGGGAGGAGGGGCAACCUGGGUGGGCUUGGCUAGCAGUCACAGCUCUAGAAGCCCUGGCAAUUUCUCAGGCAGCAUUGCAACCCAGAUGGAGGAUGGCAGGGGAAUGUGGCCACCAGGCUUGGAGGGAGGAGCAGACAGGCGAGGAGGGCAUCUGGUCAGAUAGGCAGCUAGGAAUCUGUCUGGGCUGUGGGUCCUCCCCUGGUUGGGUCUCCUUCCAGCCUCAUCCCCAGCAGAGCUGAGAGGUGAGUGGUGGAAAGAGUGAGGCAGGCUGACUAACUGCUCCCCAGAGAAGGAGAGAGAGAAUGAGGAGGGAGGGGAGGAGAAAAAGAAGGCAGCUGCAGAUGCCAUGGAGUUCGACCAAAUGACUUUGUGGGCCUCAUGUGGUCUGUGGGCCAAACGUUCCCCAUCCCUGGACUAAGAUCCUGCCUUUCACCACUCUACUCAGAGAAAAGGAUGGUUCCUUUUAAAACAAGAGUUAAGGUAUAGUGUUUACAUUGAUCAAUGAAUAAGAUGACUUGGUUUUUUUGGGUUGAUUAUUAACAAAAAUUUCCAGAUUUAUACUUGUACACAAGUAUAUAGGAUAACUUGGAUUUCAGCCUUGGUUUGCAUUUCAUAGCUAACAUCCUUCUGAUUAAAGAUACAACCUACUUAAAGUUCAUCUACAAGCAGGUUCUAUCUUACUUCAAGUAAAACACGGGUGUGGAUUGUUUGCUUGUGUACUGGUAACUGGGACAGUGUAGCAUAAUCAAACCAACACAAAGCAUUGUCCCAGACCUAUAGGCCAUAGAAAGGAAUAAAUACAGUAUAACUUCCUUAUCCACAGAUUUGAUAUCCAUUGUAUCACUAACUCAUGCUCCAAAAAAUAUUCCCAAAGCAGAAGUGUUUGUGGGUCUCUCUAUGUUAUGUUUCUGGCCCAAGUAUAGUCAAAAUACAAAUUUGCUAUUAUUCACAGUUUUGGGUAUUUGCAAGGUGUGUAUUCGUUGGAAUGCAUCUCCUGUAGACACAGUGGUUGUACAGUACCAUGUAGCCAAACCAAUCAGAUUGCAGCAAAAGCUAGACCAUAUUUAUUUCUUUGGUAAUGAAGAAAACCAGUAAGGACAACCAAGGCAGUCUUACUUCCAUUGGCUAUCAGACCAGAUCUUGCCCCCUGAGAUUGGCACAAUUCAAUGUUGGUGUAAGGAAGGAGCAAACAGGGUCUUCAUGAAGAAGAUUCCAACAUUAUCCUCAAGUAAAAAUGCAUCAGCAACCAUAAUGACAAACCUGUCUAAUGCUUGGUGACUAGCUUGUACUAUCCAGAUUAAGAUUACCAUAUUUACAUUUUCAGAUGAACUCAAUCGAAACUAUUUCAAGCAAACACAACAGACAAGCAAUGAAGACAGUACUUCAGCAAAUGAUCACUGAAAAUACAUCUAGAUUGGAAGAAACACAAGUGAUUAUAUUAUUAAUAUUCUUAAACAAUUUCAAUUUUACAGCUGUUUUAGGCUACUGGACUCAAUUUUAUCUUUGUCCUUUUGGGAUGUGAUGAGUCAAUGCAUAACUUUGUCAAGUUGUUAUUCAGCCUUGAGUUGUCAGCAUUCGAUGAAGGGAUGAAAAGAUGGUAGCUUUCUCCUCAGGAGUUGGGGAACAGAAGAAGAAAUGAUUAAUGGCCAACAAUUAGCAAGAGGUCCAUUUACACUGCCAAAUAAUGCAGUUUCAAACUGGAUUACAUAGUCAGUGUAGACAUAUUGAACUGCAUUGUAUGAGUCUACACUGCAUUGAAUUGAAUUAUGUCAGUCUACUUUGGCCAUAUAAUGCAGUUUCAAACUGUAUUAUAUGACAGUGUUGAUGGGGCCUAUUUGUAGUAUAAAGGAGUCAACAUUUUCCUUUCAUAGAAUAAUAUUAUGAUUCUGUAUUCUCUCACAACAUAUUAAUGGUCUAUUGGUCCACCAAACCCAAUAUUGUCAGUUGUUCUGAUGGCAAUGACCAUCUUGACUUUCUGGAGUUUUUAAAAUCUAGGCUUAAUUGGAGAUACCACAAUGUUAGGAAUGUAAGCAUGUGUUCCACUAUACUAUAUAAAGGUCACAAGUGUUUAUCAUAUAAUAUUUUGAAGUAAGUGGCCAAUGCUCUACUUUUCAUUUCUCAUAUACUUUAUUUGACACCAGAAGUAUUUUACAAGUGGUACUAUGUUAAAUUAGUUUAUCUGGUCUGUUUUUCAUCUCAGAUGCCAGCAAUCUCAAUUUCUACUUCUAAUUCUACUGUAAUUAGUCAAGUUGAUAAAUUACAUCUCCCAACCAUUCCCACCCACACACUUGAAUUGGAAGUUUUGAAGUGUAAGUUCUUUAUUUUUCAUCUUGAAUAAUCUUGGCCUAGUUUGUAAACCAUGACAUACUGACAGGUGCUAGGGCUUUGCUUUCUUUACCUUAAUUCCCACUGUUAGUGAAUGAAAUCACACAAAUUAUAAUGGAUGGUUUUUAAAAAAGCUGAAGGCCCAUUAAAUGAUUUAUUGCAUUUCGAUUUAGCCUGAUACUUUUCAGUCUUUAAAAUUUCCUGUUCAGAGAGUAACCAAGGCCCAGAUAUCUCCAUAGUAAGAUAAAGUUACUUCAUUUUAAGAGAAUAUUCAUGCAUCAAAACUGUACUUUUUAGCUGUACUUUGUUUUUAAUUGGAUGCAAGAUGCUUUGAGUCCACAUUGGAAAAAAGGUGAGAUACUAUGGACGCUUCCAGACAGCACCAAAAUCUGUGCUAAAGCAGGUUAAAAAAUCUACUUUGGUGUGGAUUUCCAUCCUUACUCCCCACAAAAAAACAGGACUUUCUCAGGAGGGGGAUGGCUACAUGCCAUCCCGAUUAAAAUCGGGAUAUAUGCAGCCACUCCAAAGCCUCCCAAUUUAUCCCUAAAAUUAAGUUAAACAUACCUGGCCAUCAUAACUUUCCUCCUUGCACCCUCCUGGUGUGAGGAAGUGAUGUGCCAGGAAAGAGGUGAGAAGAAAGGUUAUGGUGGCCAGAAUCUAAUGGGGUAUCAAAUUAAGUCAGAACAAACCAAACCCUGGUUUGUUCUAAAUUAAUUCAGUUUUACAGGAGGUGUCAUUUGGACAUCUAAAGUAAAACCAAGACAGGUCCCGGGUUAUGGGCCUGUCUGGAUGGGCCCUCAGUAUGCACUUUGAAGUCAGUUUGCACCAGUGGAAGUAAGCUGAGAACAAAGGAGGAAGUGGGUGGAGGUGAGAGAAUGUGGGGCAUUUCAAAUACAGUUGAAAAGGUGUUUGGUUUAUCCCUACUAAACUGGGACAGCAGAAGGGUACUCAGGAAGCAAUACGCACCAUAUUGUACUAAUCACCCUGAGUCCCCUCGGAUGAGAAAGGUGGGGUAAAAAUGUUGUAAAUAAAAUAAAUAAAUAAUGGUUACUUUGUAAAUUUCUCUUUUGUGUCUUUGGAAUACUGCUUUUUAAAAAUCCUACUAACUUAAUUGUUCAUAGCAAUCUCAAAUCUCAGGAUCAGAUUUGCAUGAACAAAUCUGAUGGAUUGCCUCCUUUCUUAGCUGUCAAGGGGCAUGUAUCUUGAAAGGAGGUCACCAGUGAAGUCAGAUUUUCUCCUUUAAUUAUUACCUAAGAUACUGGAUUAUGAACAAGUCACUGUGACCAAUCUGAAUGUAAAUGGGAGAAUAGAUAAUGCUGAUAGGUUUUAGAGAUGUUUCAAAUUGCAUUCCAGAUUUCAUUAUCUGAACCAGCAUGUCAGCACAAAAGCUAUACUUAACAUGAUCCUCUUCAAUGAGGAAAAGGAUUGAAAUAAAUUCUUGUCUUUGUUAAGAAUAAGAGCCCUGCUAAGAUUUGUGCACCGCACAGAAGUCAUGCGGGCACAUUAGUCGUUAUGGUCCAUGAUAAUUAAAAUUUGCAGGUAUAAAAUAAGUCAUAAAUAACUUACUGGAAUAAAAUUAGCCUUUUCUCCUCUUAGUGCUUUAGUAGUCAUCUUGGAGUGACCUCUGCUAGUAAGAAAAGAGCAGAUACAGCCAUAAUAGCUAUUAGAUUACCAAAAGUAUAACCAGAUGAUACUAUCAUUCUCCGCAUGGCUCUCAUGCUUAAUUAUUCAAGAUGGUUUGAGGAAAUUCAGUAGUGUAAACUUGUAGCUUUCUAGCUUCAGAACUGAUAUCUUCAUGCUCAUCUGCAAGGAUGGAUUUUUUUUAUCCUGCUGUUGUAGAAAAGGAGGCUGAAUGUGUGUGUGUGUGUGUGUGUGUGUGUGUUUGUGUGAAAUUUUUUUUCCCUGCAGAAAUGGUUGGGCAUUUGUGUCCAAUCUACAAUGGCCAAAUUAGCAAUAUAUAGUUCAAGAUUGUGAAAGUGGAAUUGUAAAUCAUAGCCAAAGAGAAAUAUGUAGCCUUAGAAAAAUGUACAGUUUGAGGUUUUGAUUUUUUUACCCAUAGAGAGCUAUUAUUGGAAAACCAAUAUUUAGUUAUUCAGUUGUUUUUGAAAAGUGUAUAUAUUUAUGCUAAUUUUAUUGCAACUGUGGAAUAUCUUGGUGUAAUAGGCUCAAAUGAAAAGAGCUUGGCUAUCCAGCAUCUUGUUUCCUAGAUAAGCCAACUUUAGGAAACCCACAAACAAGACUUUAGGGUAAUAUGCAUCUGUUGUUGCUUCCCAGUAACUGGUAUUCAGAAACACUUUGCUUCCAUUUUACUAAAGCCAAGAGUCUUAUUUUUAUAGAACACAGUCCUGUAUUCCAAGAGCUGUAAAAGGAUAGUCCUGUAUUAGAAAUUGCCCUCUAUUUGUCUAAUCCAAUUCCAGUUAAACUCAAAGGAUUUAGAAGGAUAUAUGAGGUGACUUUGGGUCUUCUCUUAGCAUUGAUAUCCGAUCACUUACCACAUUAUCACACUAGGGCUUUAAAGCGGGCAGUGGACAUUUCCCAGAAUUCUGCAGGUGGCAGAAAUGCAGGGCUGCCUGCUUUAAAGCCCUGGUGUGAUAACGUCUUUUAGUUACACUUUUUUGUCAUUAUGGUAAGGCACAUUUUAUAUCUGUUUCAAUUAUGCUAUCAUCUUCAUGUAGUAAUGUAGUAGUGAAGUGUUGGACUAGGAACUCUGGAAACAUGGUAGGCCAUGGAAACCCCACUAGCCAUGUCACAUUCGCUCACUCUAAGGGUAAGGCACUGACAAAUGACUCAUGAAUAAAUCUUCUACAACUUGAUUCUCUGGUAUGCUUCCACUGGAAGUCAUUCACUUCAAGAGACUUCAGUAUGAUCUGUGGUUUCACACAUCCAAGGUAAGUGUAGAAAUGUACCCCCUGUGGAUACAGAGGUCAUUGUCUAUGUACAGCCUAGGGGAACACAUGCAGUGUCUGGAUCAGAUAACUCGUAAUAGAAGUGGUAUGGUGGAGUUUUCUCAAUUCCUCUCCCAUGUGUAUUAGGCCACUAGCUAACAGGCUUCUCAAAUGAAAGCAGCAAAACUUUUGCCCCAUAUAGCUGGAAAGUAUGUGCAAAUAGCUGUCAAGGGCACUAUGAAGGUAAGGUGAAAAUGGAGAUCACUGUAGAACUAUACCAUUAAUUCUGAAUGAGAAAAAGAAUAUAAAGUUGGAAAGCGGUUUUAAAAAAUCAUAUUACUGAAGGAAGAAAAUAGUAGAACAAGUGCCCAAAGUUUCUUUCUCUCCUGAUUCUUCUUUUCCUGUUUUGAAGAUCAAGUGGAAGGCUCCAAAAUUUGUGUAAGGUUACACAUAUUGGCAUCAAUCUGACUUUUCCCUUCCAGGAAUUUCUCAGCAUCUACACACAGAAUGUCAACCAUGAGAAUCCUAUUUUUGUUCUCCUCCUAGUCUCCAACUUCGUUUUCCUUUGGUCUCCAUUUGAAUGCCAAAGAGAACAAGCACCUCAUUCUGAUGUGGUUGGAAACAGAUUACAUAUGAUUCUCAAACACCAAAGGGUAACAAGAAAUAGUGCACACCUGGAAGCCAAGCAUUUAUGUAUACUUGGAGGGAAAACUCACAGAAGGCCUGAUCCUUGCAGCCCUGGAGCAAGCCAUCAGAACAAAGGCAAUUAAGGCCAAGAUCGAAAAAUCAGCUGAUGACCCAAAAUGCAGACUGUGCAAGGAAACCGACGAAACCAUUGAUCAUAUCCUCAGCUGCUGUAAGAAAAUUUCACAGAAAGACUACAAACAGAGGCACAACUAUGUGGCCCAAAUGAUUCAUUGGAACGUAUGCCUCAAGUACCACCUCACAGCAGUAAAGAACUGGUGGGAUCACAAACCUGCAAAAGUAUUGGAAAAUGAACACACAAAAAUACUGUGGGACUUCCGAAUCCAGACUAACAAAGUUCUGGAACACCAGAUAUCACAGUUGUGGAAAAGAAAAAGUUUUGGAUCAGUGAUGUUGCCAUCCCAGGGGACAGUCACAUUGACGAAAAACAACAGGAAAAACUCAGCCGCUAUCAGGACCUCAAGAUUGAACUUCAAAGACUCUGGCAGAAACCAGUGCAGGUGGUCCCGGUGGGUGCCGUGCCAAAAGAUCUCAGCCAGCAUUUGGAAACAAUAGACAUUGACAAAAUUACGAUCUGCCAACUGCAAAAGGCCACCCUACUGGGAUCUGUGCGCAUCAUCCGAAAAUACAUCACACAGUCCUAGACACUUGGGAAGUGUUUGACUUGAGAUUUUGUGAUACAAAAUCCAGCAUAUCUAUCUUGUUUGUUGUGUCAUACUAUGUUGUUGUGUCAAUAAUAAUAAUAAUAAUAAUAAUAAUAAUAAUAAUAAUUUUAUUUCUUACCUACUUCUCCUCAUGGCUAGAGGUGGGUUACACUAUUGCUCAAACACACUAUCAUCUAAAAGCAUUCUGUAAAAGACACAUAUUAAAACAUAUUUCUACAAAGUGCAUAUUAAAAUACACAGAACAAAGAUUAAACAUAAGGUGCAAGUUUAAAAUUUGUGAUUAAAACUGGCUGAGUAGGCCUGCCAGAAGAGAUAGAUCUUCAAAUGUGUGUAAAUUCCAAUAGCUGGUCUAGCUGUCAGAGUUCUUCUGGCAGGGUUGUUGUAUGUUUUCCAGGCUGUAUGGCCAUGUUCCAGAAGUAUUUUCUCCUUACGUUUCACCCAUA